GCUUCGCCUGAACAGUUGAGACAAGGCGAGCAGCUGCGUCCUCUCCCAGAGACGCGCGUGGUGCGUGUGUGUGUGUGCCGGAGACGAAUCUAAGUGGAACCGGGAAUGGAGUUGUCCUAGCAGCCUCCGACACCUGUCCUUGCUCUGUCCCCUUACCUGUCGCAGUGUAACCCAGGUGAAUCAGCCACUCACCCCCAAAGGAACAUCAGGCACCUCCUUCCGCCUCCCAGCCUUUCAUUCCUUCCGCCGCAACAGGUGUGUGUGGGGGCGCCUGGGCGAGGAACAUGUCAGGAGCCGUGGGUGUGGGGAGGCACUGGGGGCCGGCCAUGUGACGCCCACGCUUGGAGGUAAGUGUUGGUAAAAGAGAUUGAAGGAGACGAAAGGCCGUGAUCGUCACAUGAAUUUUGCUUAAGCAGGUGUAGGUCAGGAUUGUCUCAAGGGGACGAUCGGCGCCAGGCUGUCCACACAAAAGAAGAAAGAAACUGCGAGAGAACGAUGCAUUAUAAGAUAAUACUAAAAGAAAAAAAGUGAAUGAGUGAAAGGAAAGGAGAGAGUGAGAGAUCUAACGUGAGCGUGAUAAUAUUAUUGAAAAACUAGAAACUGAUAAAAAAAAAAUAGGAAAUAAUAAAGAAGAAAAUAAGUAAGGGAAAGUAGGACGAAAAAUGAAAAGUUACAAGAAUACGGAAAAGAAGCUGAUUGAAUGAAGGGAAUAGAGAAAGGAAGGAAUGAUGAAACUCGAUGCAGGAUAAGAAAAAAAGAAUGAUUGAGAAAAGGAAAAACGGUAAAAAAAAAAGAAAUAAUAUAGGAAAAAAUAAAAGAUAAUGAGAGAAAAGUGGGUGAAUGGAUGAAGGGAAUAAGGAAGAAGAAAUAAAUGUGAUAUAGUGGUGUAAAAUGUAAAGGGAGAAAUGAACGAAGAAAAAAAAAUGAUAGGAGAGAAAAAAAAAGUAUGAUAAUAGAAAAAAGAAUAAAUCAGUUUGGUAAAGGAAGUAAAAAGAAGCUAAAGAUGAUAAAUUAAUAUAAAAGAAAACUAAUGAAAAAGAAAAGAUUGACGAAGCAAGGUAAUAAUAGAAGAAAGAAAAAAGAAAACAAAUAAAUGGUGUGAUAAAAAUGCAAAAUAUAAUAAAGUAGGUGGAAGGAAGAGAAGAGGAGGAAAUGCGAGGUAAGAACAUGUAAAAAAAGAUAAAAAGUAUGGAGAAAGGAAGAACUGAAAGAAGAGAAACAAAAUAAUGUAAGAAAAAGUGAAUGAUAAAUGAGGAAAAUGAGAAAAGGAAAAAAUGAGUAAUGAAAUGAUAAAUACAAACGUUGAAUGAAAUGACGAAGUGCGAGAAAUGAAGGGUAGAAUGGAAGAAACAAAUGAUGACAACGAAUGAGGAAUAGGAGAGAAAAUAGCGAAACAGUGGACGAGAAAUAGCAGGGAUAAGGAAAGGAGGACUGAAAGAUUAAUUAUUGUGAGAUAGAGGGGGGAUAAAGAUAAUUGAUGAGGAGGUGAGAUAGGGAUGAACGAAAAAAAGGACUCAAGAAAGGAGCGAAAGAAAGAGAAGAAGUAGGAAGGAAGGAAAAAAAUAACCAUGUGAUGUUUUUUCCGUCCUUUUUUCCUUUCUUCCUUUCUUUAACCACAUUGUCUGGAGAGAGAGAGAGAGAGAGAGAGAGAGAGAGAGAGAGAGAGAGAGAGAGAGAGAGAGAGAGAGAGAGAGAGAGAGAGAAAAGGCUAUUGGAAGAAUAUAAAUAGAGUGCUGGAAAUCGAAUAGAAGAAAAGGCCAGUCGAUGCUUUUUUGUCAGUGAUUCUUUUAAUUAUUCUUCCGCCAGUUCUUUUAGUCAUUCCUUAAGUCUGUGUUUGUCGAUUUUUCUUAUCGUUAUUAGUGUGUAUCUUUUUUUAUUAUUAUUAAUUUUUGCACUGGUAUCGAAUAAAGAGAAUAUUGAAUAGCACAUA